GUGGGGAAUUUUGGACAAUGGGCGAAAGCCUGAUCCAGCCAUGCCGCGUGCAGGAUGAAGGCCUUCGGGUUGUAAACUGCUUUUGUACGGAACGAAAAGACUCCUUCUAAUAAAGGGGGUCCAUGACGGUACCGUAAGAAUAAGCACCGGCUAACUACGUGCCAGCAGCCGCGGUAAUACGUAGGGUGCAAGCGUUAAUCGGAAUUACUGGGCGUAAAGCGUGCGCAGGCGGUUAUAUAAGACAGAUGUGAAAUCCCCGGGCUCAACCUGGGAACUGCAUUUGUGACUGUAUAGCUAGAGUACGGUAGAGGGGGAUGGAAUUCCGCGUGUAGCAGUGAAAUGCGUAGAUAUGCGGAGGAACACCGAUGGCGAAGGCAAUCCCCUGGACCUGUACUGACGCUCAUGCACGAAAGCGUGGGGAGCAAACAGGAUUAGAUACCCUGGUAGUCC
rnacentral:rRNA from 1 species